rnacentral:rRNA from 1 species
GACGAACGCUGGCGGCGUGCUUAACACAUGCAAGUCGAACGGAAAGGCCCUGCUUUUGUGGGGUGCUCGAGUGGCGAACGGGUGAGUAACACGUGAGUAACCUGCCCUUGACUUUGGGAUAACUUCAGGAAACUGGGGCUAAUACCGGAUAGGAGCUCCUGCUGCAUGGUGGGGGUUGGAAAGUUUCGGCGGUUGGGGAUGGACUCGCGGCUUGUCAGCUUGUUGGUGGGGUAGUGGCUUACCAAGGCUUUGACGGGUAGCCGGCCUGAGAGGGUGACCGGCCACAUUGGGACUGAGAUGCGGCCCAGACUCCUACGGGAGGCAGCAGUGGGGAAUAUUGCACAAUGGGCGGAAGCCUGAUGCAGCAACGCCGCGUGCGGGAUGACGGCCUUCGGGUUGUAAACCGCUUUCGCCUGUGACGAAGCGUGAGUGACGGUAAUGGGUAAAGAAGCACCGGCUAACUACGUG